rnacentral:rRNA from 1 species
UUCCUACGGGAGGCAGCAGUCGGGAAUAUUGCGCAAUGGAGGAAACUCUGACGCAGUGACGCCGCGUAUAGGAAGAAGGUUUUCGGAUUGUAAACUAUUGUCAUUAGGGAAGAAAAAAGACAGUACCUAAGGAGGAAGCUCCGGCUAACUACGUGCCAGCAGCCGCGGUAAUACGUAGGGGGCAAGCGUUAUCCGGAUUUACUGGGUGUAAAGGGAGCGCAGGCGGCACGGCAAGCCUGAUGGGAAAGCCCGCGGCACAACCGCGGG